rnacentral:rRNA from 1 species
CCUACGGGAGGCAGCAGUGAGGAAUAUUGGUCAAUGGACGAGAGUCUGAACCAGCCAAGUAGCGUGAAGGAUGACUGCCCUAUGGGUUGUAAACUACUUUUAUAAAGGAAUAAAACGAGGCACGUGUGCCUUUUUGCAUGUACUUUAUGAAUAAGGAUCGGCUAACUCCGUGCCAGCAGCCGCGGUAAUACGGAGGAUCCGAGCGUUAUCCGGAUUUAUUGGGUUUAAAGGGAGCGUAGAUGGGUUGUUAAGUCGGUUGUGAAAGUUUGCGGCUCAACCGUAAAAUUGCAAUUGAUACUGGAAGUCUUGAGUACAGUUGAGGUAGGUGGAAUUCGUGGUGUAGCGGUGAAAUGCGUAGAUAUCACGAAGAACCCCGAUUGCGAAGGCAGCUUACUAAACUGUGACUGACAUUGAUGCUCGAAAGUGUGGGUAUCAAACAGGAUUAGAUACCCCGGUAGUC